rnacentral:rRNA from 1 species
ACGAAGGGGGCUAGCGUUGUUCGGAAUUACUGGGCGUAAAGCGCACGUAGGCGGAUAUUUAAGUCAGGGGUGAAAUCCCAGAGCUCAACUCUGGAACUGCCUCUGAUACUGGGUAUCUUGAGUAUGGAAGAGGUGAGUGGAAUUGCGAGUGUAGAGGUGAAAUUCGUAGAUAUUCGCAGGAACACCAGUGGCGAAGGCGGCUCACUGGUCCAUAACUGACGCUGAGGUGCGAAAGCGUGGGGAGCAAACAGG